GACGCCCCAUCUGCCGUCUCCCCGCCCCCGCCACCAGCCUAUUAUUCAUCAUUUAUUCUGGAAACUUCUCCCCGGGGCGCGCGGGAGCCAGGCCCGCGAGGAUGAGGUGCAGGCCGCGCAAGGGUGACUUCCCCACGGGCGCUUUCUUCAAAGAACUGGGCCUACAGGCCAGACGUCAAGGCACAACAUGCUGAGGCCGAGGACAAAGGCGUCUGGGAAGAUCUGUACUCAUCCCAGCAGGGGCCCCGGGAAGCCUUCCCCGAAGACGCAGGGGUAAGAGUGCAAUACCAAGGCCCCUGCAUUUCAGAAAAUGGAUGUAGUCCUUGACUUUUGCCCAUUCUAAUAUGAUCAUUAAGUAACCCCGGAGGAAAAUGGAACACUUUGAACAAGCGAUGUGAAGCAGAUGUAGCUUCAGAAGAAACAUUUAAAAACGUGCAUUGGAUAUGACGUCUUUUCACAUUUCAGAAAUCGCCAGCACAGUGGAUUGUUUAAAAUAUAUGAAGUGAGAUUUAGCAGCUGGGGAACACUUGUUUAUCUACAUCAUAGUGUUAAAUCCCAAUAAAUGUUUUGAACAACGAA